CGCUGGCGGCGCGCAUACACAUGCAAGUCGAGCGAGGGCUCAUUCCCCGCAAGGGGAGUGGGUUCCUAGCGGCGAACGGGUGAGUAACACGUGGGCAACCUUUCCUAUCGCGGGGGAUAACAGCGGGAAACCGCUGCUAAUACCGCAUGUCGUCACCGGUCGCAUGGCCGGUGAAGAAAGCAGCAAUGCACGAUGGGGUGGGCCCGCGGCCUAUCAGCUAGUCGGUGGGGUCACGGCCUACCGAGGCGAUGACGGGUAGCUGGUCUGAGAGGACGACCAGCCACACGGGGACUGAGACACGGCCCCGACUCCUACGGGAGGCAGCAGUGAGGAAUCUUCCGCGAUGGGCGAAAGCCUGACGGAGCGACGCCGCGUGUGGGAUGAAGUCCUUCGGGAUGUAAACCACUGUUGGAGGGGAAGAUAGUGACGGUACCCUCCGAGAAAGCCCCGGCUAACUACGUGCCAGCAGCCGCGGUAAUACGUAGGGGGCUAGCGUUAUCCAGAAUUACUGGGCGUAAAGCGCGUGUAGGCGGCUGGUUAAGUGUGAUGUGAAAUCUUCGGGCUCAACCCGAAAACUGCAUUGCAAACUGGCCUGGCUAAAGUGCAGGAGAGGGAAGCGGAA
rnacentral:rRNA from 1 species